UAGGGAAUCUUCCACAAUGGACGAAAGUCUGAUGGAGCAACGCCGCGUGUGUGAUGAAGGGUUUCGGCUCGUAAAACACUGUUGUAAGAGAAGAAUGACAUUGAGAGUAACUGUUCAAUGUGUGACGGUAUCUUACCAGAAAGGAACGGCUAAAUACGUGCAG
rnacentral:rRNA from 1 species